ensembl:lncRNA
GCCAGGCCCCACACCCAGAGGCAGCUCUUUUUCCAAGUCGGCUGGAAUCUCAACGAUAUGCAGUCUUCGAACCUCCUGCUGCACACCUAAGGCACUGUGGUUCAUCAGCACCAUCCUUCUAGAUUCCAUAUGCAUGAGUUAUUUACGUGUACUCAAAGGAGAAGCCUGACAUCAGAAACAGAAAUCCAAGAACCUUGUCCAUCUUUCCUGCUUCUGCUGCUGCCAAGUUGCUUCAGUCGUGUCCGACUCUGUGCGACCCCAUAGAGGGCAGCCCACCAGGCUCCCCUGUCCCUGGGAUUCUCCAGCGGAUGGGAGUUCAAUCCCUGCUGGGGGAGCUAAUAUCCUACACACUGCGAGGCAACAAGAGAAGCCCUCUGCCUCUGCUAUGGAUCGUAACUAGAGAAAGCCAGCACACCUCAAUGAUGAGCCCC